GGAAGUAAAAGUUGUAACAAGGUUUCCGUAGGUGAACCUGCGGAAGGAUCAUUAUUGUAUAACCGAGGUGCGAGGGCUGUCGCUGACCCGAAAGGUCGUGCACGCCCGAGUGCCCUCACACACAUCCAUCUCACCCCUAUGUGCACCACCGCGUGGGUCCCCCUUUGGCUUGUUCGGAGGGGGGCUUACGUUUUCACACAAACUUUGUAUGCAGUGUAGAAUGUAUUUUUUGUUUUUGCGAUCACGCAAUCAAUACAACUUUCAACAACGGAUCUCUAGGCUCUC
rnacentral:misc_RNA from 1 species